CUAUAGUGUCGUCCUCUCAUCUCCUCUCCUCCCUCUAUGGAUCCAGCAGCACUCCUCCUCCACAUGCGUCUUCCCUCAAGCGGGCGGUCUCCAUGACAUCCCCUCCUCCCAAUCUAUGGCGUCCAUGAUCCUUUCCCGCAUCAGACUAGAUCUGCCUGGCGAGCUCGAGAACGUUACUGACCCUCCCCUACCCCAACCGACAGCGUCCUCCCCAGAUUCGGCAGAGACUGCCAUGACCGACGGCGGACAUGGUAGCGGUAUACGAGCGCACACCAUCCAACACCGCACUGAUCCACCUCGCCCAUCACGGAAGGGGAAGCAGAGGACGCAUGCGUCGGCGCAUGUGCCCUCAUCUACCUCGCAUUGUCAGUAGGAAGGGGAGAAGGGGAGGCCCGCACCACCGUACUUCCCCACAAGUGCAUGCAGGUGGAACAAAGGAGCGUGAGCAGCAGGCACGGGAAACGAGCGUGGGCGCAGCGGCAGGCACGAGAAACGAACGUGGAUGCAGAUCAAGGCAUGCGCGAGAAACAGAGUGACGGGAAACGAGCGCGGAUGAGACCGAGACAUACGCGAGAAAUGGAGCGACAUGGGCCCCAAGAUAAAAUAGGAUCACAAGGGCGCGCGGGAUAGGCCUAGCUGAUGCGAGCGUCCGGACACUAGCGCCCAGAUCGGACGUCCGGGCGCUAGCAGUUCCGUUAUUAAAAACAUGGUCAAUGACUAAGUUAAUGAUAUUUAACUACAAAGUUUUAAA